AUGGCAGGCUGUCUUAUUGCUCUUAAUUAUAAGAGAGGAAAGUCCGGACACCAUAGAGCAGUAUAGCGGGUAACGCCCGUCAUUCGCCUCGGCGGAUAGGACCAGUGCAACAGAAAGCAAGUACAGUUCGGCUGUAGUGAAAUCAUGUAAACUCUAUGCGGUGCAACGCCAAGUAUGAUUGCUUUAGAGAACUGCUCGUUCAAUGUAAUUGGGUAGGCGGCUAGAAUGUUGUAGUAAUACAAUGUCAAGAUAAAUAAUAAGACACGACAGAAUCCGGCUUAUAGGCCUGCCUUUUUU
rfam:Flavobacteriaceae bacterium TMED212 93775, whole genome shotgun sequence.